AGCGAACGCCGGCGGCAGGCCUAACACAUGCAAGUCGAACGAACUCUUCGGAGUUAGUGGCGGACGGGUGAGUAACACGUGGGAACGUGCCUUUAGGUUCGGAAUAACUCAGGGAAACUUGUGCUAAUACCGAAUGUGCCCUUCGGGGGAAAGAUUUAUCGCCUUUAGGGCGGCCCGCGUCUGAUUAGCUAGUUGGUGAGGUAACGGCUCACCAAGGCGACGAUCAGUAGCUGGUCUGAGAGGAUGACCAGCCACACUGGGACUGAGACACGGCCCAGACUCCUACGGGAGGCAGCAGUGGGGAAUCUUGCGCAAUGGGCGAAAGCCUGACGCAGCCAUGCCGCGUGAAUGAUGAAGGUCUUAGGAUUGUAAAAUUCUUUCACCGGGGACGAUAAUGACGGUACCCGGAGAAGAAGCCCCGGCUAACUUCGUGCCAGCCGCCGCAGUAAAAC
rnacentral:rRNA from 1 species